rnacentral:ncRNA from 1 species
AAGAAACUGCCACCGGGUAGCAAGCGUUUGUAAGCAUAUCAUUAGGUCUUUGAAGAUAUGCCGAUCAGGCGCUUAUUUUUU